rnacentral:lncRNA from 1 species
GUGAAAAAACAGAAUUGCCUUAUCUGGGGUUCCUGUGCAGCAGUCCCUGGCCGAUGCUACUUUCCAAGCCUGUGGGAAAGGUUAACCUGGCUCAGGCCAAAACUGGAGAGUGCUAACAGUUAAACAGCAGGGCAGGGCUCAAGGCCAUGCCAUGGUCCUGCACAGACAAAGGAAGCUUAAUGUACAGCCACAAUGCAGCAUAGUGAACCUCUGCACAUGCUGGCAAUAGAAGACCUGUACGAGUCUCCCCCUAGAGCCUUAGCAGCUGUUUUAGAUCUACCCACCUUCAUUCUGGCUUGAGAUAAACACCAUGAGAUCUGGGAUAAUGCAAAUAAGGCACACAUGGCCUUGAUCUGGCUGAAAUCCUGUCCCUGUCUCAGUGAUGAUAACCAUGGUAUUGUAGCUAAUAUUGAAUUAUGUGGCAAUGGCCAAUGUAGAGACACAAUGCAUGGCAGGUCCACAGCUAGGUCCGUGACUACAGAUGGAAACCAAAGAUAAAGGGAAAUACAGGGCCUUGUGCCUGCAUAUAAAGGAUGCAAAGCUGCUUCCAAGGACAAUGAUUCUGUGGUUAAGCAGGCAGAAACAGAGCAAGAAGGGGCUGUGAGAAGGUUUGCAGCCUAUCUGUAGGAGGUUCACUAGCUGUGGGAGAUCUGGCAUGGUCAGACAGUCCUGACUUAGCAUAAAGUUAGCUGGCACAAUGUUAGCUCAUCAACAUUUUUUUGAGUACUAUAAACUUACUUCACUGGCUCAAGUGUAAGUUUAUCAGCACUCUGCAUCGUGUAGUGGGAGUGUUCUUAUUCCAGCGGAAUCUGGAUUUAAUCUACAGCCAAACCAUAGACGUAGCCAGAGAGAGCUGUAACUGAACAAGAAAAUGGAUAAGUGCACUAGAGGCCCAUGCAACUAAACAGUGGACCUACUCUGAUGACCUCUGAAUCAUCUCGAAGAUAUUUUGGGGAACAAAAGUGCAUGAAGCAAUGUCCAGCUCCUUGGUUUAUAGAUCCACUCUCUUUUAGCUAUUUUUUGGGUUGUAGCCAGCUGUGUGCCCAGUUCUUGCGAAGGGAAGAGCAGAUAGUUUCUUCCCUUUCUUUUUCCCCCUCCGGAGGCGCGGUGCCGCGGCUGGGCCAGCAGAGGGAGGUCACGGCUCGCCGGGCGCAGCGACGCCGCCGGCCCAGAAGCUGCAGUACAGCAGGGAGCGAAGAGCAGCCUCCAGCAGCGUCUCGGCAGCUAAUCGGCGGUAGAAGCCGCCCACCCGACUGGAGAGAUUCUAAGCAGAAUAUGAAGCUUUGCUUGUUGUACUUCUAA